rnacentral:lncRNA from 1 species
CUUGUUACUGUUAGUUUGAGUAAAAGGUUAUAUGCCAUCAAUUUGAGUUGUGGCAACCAAAUAUGUUAAUGUGUAUCAACUGAGUUACUUCUUAUUUGAUUUUGAUUCCAAGGCACUAAAGCUGGUUCUCGAAACGAGAUCCCUUCUAGUAUUUGCAUUGGGAUUCUUAAUGUUCUCUCCAACGCCAUUUUCCUCUCAUUUUUUCUAGAUUUUGUCGUCGUGCCAUUUUAUUGCCGAUUAUCUCUUUCCUGGUAUCCUCCUUCUCCAAUUCUUGCCAAAAUGCUUUAUCGACACGAUUGACAUCAACGUCAAAACAUUGUUGGGAGAAACCACUUGGUGCAAACUCAAACCCUAAAAAGUGAAUGGUGAAUAAAAUGAAUUUUUUUUAUCUUUUAAAUAGUAAAACAAAUGGGUCUCUUAAAAGUAACAUGAUCAAGAUAGAAAACGAACAUUACCUUCUAAUGAGCUUCCAGAUACAUCUGAAUUCACAUAGGCGAUGGUGGAAAGAGAUCAUGUUGGACUAAAAUCAAUAGACACUAUCUUUUUCCACUGUUUCCUACAUAAAUUUAAAUACCUUUGGACACUCAUUAGAAGACAACACUUGCUUUUCUUUUCUUCACAUUCCUUUCAAGAGACUCGUGGUUUGCUAUUUAAAAAAACAAUUUUUUUCUCAUUUGAUUUACUAUUCACUUUCUAGUGUGAGUUUGUGCCAAGUGACUUUGACAACAAUGUUUAGACACCAAUGUUAGUUCACGUCGAUAAAGCUUUUCGACAAGAGUUGUAGAAGUAGGAAAUCAAGAGAGAGAUAAUUGAUUGUGC